rnacentral:tRNA from 1 species
UCCCUGGAGGUCCCGUGGUUUGGACUGUGUGCUUUUAAGGCAGAGGGCUCAGGUUCAAUCCCUGGUCAGGGAA